AUAGAAAAGUAAGAAGAUUUUAUUAAUAACUUAGACAAUAACAUAAAAGACUUGCACAUACAAUACAACGAACUCUACAAGAUACAAGCUCUUUCAACACCUAUACCUGUGUAGGCCUAAUCUAUGUAUGCGUAUAUUGAAGGAAACUAAACAAAGGCAAGUAUCUACCCAAUUUACCGAAACCUAAUUAUCAAACCGCACACCCAGAAAACCCAGAAAACUAAGAACUGCUUACUUACCCCAGACCUAAUUACCCAGAAACAUUAUCGAAACCUAAAAAUACCCAUUGGAACCAUUAUCACUACUGCUGCUGCACAUCUAAACCCAGAAAAGAAGAAAAAGCGUCUGCUGUUAGGUCGAAUUGCAAGCUCAUCGACUUUCCCUUUGAAAAAAUAAGGGGAAAUGCCGAGAAUCAUAAACCCGAUCGUUUAGCUAGCUAAUAUGUAAAACCCAGGAACAACUGCUGCACAUGCUUGAGUGUAUAAUCAAACCGGACCGGGUCGGACUAAGAUAAAUUAAGGCAAAGCUUGAGUAUAUUGCCGGCUUGCGCUGCGGCUUGCGGCGGUCGGGCUGGGGACGAGCGGCCUUGUUAGGGGUAGGGUUGCGGUGGUGGUACUUCAUCGGAAGAGAGAGGAGACCGUGAGAUGAAGGGUGUUUGAGGCAGUCUUGUGGGCUGAGAACUUCGACAACCAUGGUUCAGAUCUGGAAAAGCUGAGAAGGAUUGAAGCUUUGUGGAGAAGAGGAGGAGAAAAUCAAAAGGAGUUGGC